CCUGGGUGGCUCAGUGGGUUAAGGAUCUGGUGUUGUCACUGCUAUGGCUAGGGUCCCUGCUGCGGUGUGGGUUUGAUCCCUAACGUGGGAACUUCCACAUGCCACAGGGAUGGCCGAAAAAGAGAUACAGACAAAUUUAUUUAUAAAACAGAAACAGAUUCACAGACAUAGAAAACAAACUUGUGGUUACCAAAGGUGUAAGGGGUUAGGGGAGGGAUAAAUUAGGAGUUUGGAAUCAGAAGAUACAGGUAGUAUAUAUAAAACAGAUAAACAACAAGGACCUACUGUAUAGUACAAGGAGCUAUACUCAGUAUCUUGUAAUAACCUAUAAUGGAAAAGAACCUUAAAAAGAAUAGCUAUGUGUAUAUGUAUAACUGAAUCACUUUGCUAUACACCUGAAACUAAUAUAACAUUGUAGAAUAAACAUAUUUAAUUUAAAAAUUUAAAAAUUUUUUAAAUUACCUAGAAAAUAAAUACGUAAAGUCAGAUGGUUGCAUUAAAUGACAGUUAAUGUAGCCUCUAGCCCAAACUAUCCCUAAAUCCCUUAUUUGACUAUGCAUUGCUUAGACAUCCCAAGGCUCAGACACCUCCAGUUCAGAGCACUAAAACCAGAUGGAGUGGAAACUCGUUUCUCACAACUUUAUUUAGCCAAAGAGAACACAGUAAAACAUAGGUCCACAUUCUGUAAACUACCACCCUACAAAUAUUUUGUUUUUGUGUUAUUGCUAAGCAUUGAAGUUGGCUUUUUAUUUAUUGGUCUUCUCAGGCACACUGCAUGAGGCCAACCUUCAAGUCUUGACUGCAUAAUUUUGAAAUAUAGGGACUUAGGAACAUGCUCCUAGUAAAAUAAGAGUAAAACUUUAAGUGUUCAUGUGUUUUUAUUUUUCUUCACUUUAUUUGGAUAGUUCAUGUAUCAACCUGGCUUUCAUUCCCUCUCCUUUGAAACCAUAAUAUUUGUUUUUGUUGAAAUCAUUUUCUGCUUGGUCUGAAAAUAUACUUUAGUAAGCAUUAAUACUAGUUAGGGGUUAAGUUUUAAUGAAAUUUUAAGGCAAAAAAGUCUUAAAUCCAGCAUGAUUCACUUCAAAAGCAUAGGUCAAAUAUCAUACUCCUCAGGGAAAUCUUCUUCCCACCAUUCCUUCCUUUACUCCUUAAACAUUCUGACCUUCCAUUAAAAUUGUAGUAUUAGGUGUCACCUAAACAAAUAGCUAUUUCCUAGCCUCUAUCUUUCUUCUCUCCCUUCUUCCCAUCCCCAUCUUAUUUCUUCCUUUUAUUCUUUCUUCAGGAUUUUAGGAAUGCAGCAUUCCAGAGCCCAAUUGCCUGGGGUCAAAAUUAAAUCCACCAUUUAGUGGAUAUGUGACCUUGAACAAGUUAUUUAAACUCUCUACAGCUCAGUGUCUACAUAGGUAAAUUUAUGAUAAUAUAUAAUAAUGGUACUGACCUCAAAAGGUGGUUGUAAAGAUUCAAUGAAUUAAUGUAUUUAGAAUUUUUGAAUCAUCAUGCUGUACCGUUCAACCUAAUACAGUGCAGUAUGUCAAUUCUGUUUCAAUAAAACUGUAAAAAAGAUGUAAAUACAACAUCUAAAAUCAUGCUUAAACCAUACCAAGUUCACCAUGGAUAUCUCCUAAUACGGUUGUUCUUAUUUUACAAGGGUUUACUUGGUUCCUCUGGGUACCUUGUUCUGCUCAAGAUACCAGAGUCUCUCUUUCAAACAUCUUGGGUGUUCUUGAACUACCUGCCACCUUUCUUGCCUCAGGUCAUAUUCAUACAUAUUUUUAGAUGAUGAAGAAACCAUAGACGUGUAAUCCACCUCCACUCCUCCCUCAACCAACCGCAUGUAUCCCGCUUGAUGGGCUUAUGAGUAGGGAAAGCGUUCUCUGCAUUUGCCCUCCACGUUAAACCUGCAAGGAAACAGCUAUAACUCAUAGCCACGUAUCUAUUCGUGGCUCUGAUUCUUUAUAUCACCUGUGUUAAAAUAUCACAAUAUUUCAGCUGUUAAUUGAAGCACUCUGGCGUCUUGAGUUAUUUUUAUAGUCAACUUGAGAUGACAUGUGAUAGUUCAGAUUAAUGGAAGCUGUGAGUCAGAAAUUCUGUCUCUAGUUAUGGUUAUAACUUUUAACAUGUGCUAACAUGUGAUAUCUGCAGAUCAUGUGACCUGUAGUUAUUUCUAAAAUGGGUAUUUGAAACACCCAACUUUUGUCAUGGUAACGCUUUAUCCUAAAUGAAAGCAACAGUUUCGUCUCUCGUAAUUUUUUUCUGGUACCACAUGUCUUAAUAAAAAGCAGUCAUUCUAAUGUUUUUCAGAUGUCUUCAGCAAACCCAAGGGUAUUUAACUAAAACAAGCACAUACCAGGUGAAAUAGGUUUAUCAACCCUUACAAGAGUAUUUAUAAAAUGUUGACCAUGAGUGAGAAAACAAGCGAAAUUGAUUUGUGGAAAUAAAAAGUCCAUCUACUUCUAAAGUUCCUCCAAUGUGUGGGAAUAGAUUCUUUCCAAGUCUAUGAAGCAUUCAGGAAACCAAUGCACAGUAAGCGUGAAUUCUCUAAGAAGGCAGCCUGGAGAUCCUUUUAAGUGAUGUGAGCAGUGAAGCUCUUAAAAUGGGGCUAAUUAGCUGUUUGAUGUACUUGACAGAGAAAGAUGUAUGCAAGCAGAGAGAAAAGACUGCAAACACAGAUAUCCCUGAUUGCAUUAUUGUCCAAAACUUUAAUUAAUUUCUUGAGCACUGUCUUUUCCAUAAUUUAAAAUGGUUUAAAAGAUGUACAACUAACAGGUUCAAAGUGUUUCUUUAGCUAAUCACUUGCACUGCAGGAGGCUGAAAAUUCUAGAGCAUAUUUUAUACACUCCUCGAGCCGUCCAGCGAUUCCUUUUACAGGCUCUGGCUUUCAUUCUUCCCCUGUUUGCCCACUGGCAUUGAGAAAUGUGUGACUUGAUAAUGCUCUUCAAAGCCCAAACAGCCGCCCCUGUGUGUUCGUGAUAGAGAAGGUGCAGUUGUCCUUCGGCAUGAAAAUAUUCUCUUCGCGUGUGUGUGCCCUGAGAGAUAAAAAUUGGAUACUGGUCACAGACUCAGUUAAGAAAUACACCUUUACAUAGUUUAAAAUAAAAAUGAGUCUUUCCGCUAGGAUUACCUGUUUCCAUAAAACACAGUUCAUAAAGAAAAAAAUUUGAAUGCUAACUGGGGACAACUUUCUGAUUAAAAAUUACGAUGGCAGUUUAUACCUAGAGCAAUCCAAACAUAAACAUGCAAAUGGGUAUAAAAUCACUUCCACUUAUUUUAGUCAUCCAAAUGUAAAUUACACCUUUUGCCAACUUGCUUAUUUUCUCUCAAGUGAAUCAUUAUUUAGAUGUGACGUUUUGUAAGAAAGUCACUACUUUAAAAUCAUUCCACCCCUGUAUUCGGGAAACAGCAAAUUUAAGUAAGGAUCCUUAGUUUAAAAAAAACAAAAACAACUAAGAAAUAAUCAACGGAGAUAUGUGAGCAUGAAAACUUUAAUGUCUUGUUCUCACCUAAGCCAUCGUGUCAUGGGGGAGUAAACCAAAUCUACUCAGGUUAUUAGUAGUCAGGAAAUGGUAUUGAAAGGGACUUCUAUUAGAGAUAGCAAGGCUUUGGCCAAAAUCAUGGAUGACACAAGUUCUAUGAGUUUUUCAAUCGCUCCUCUGUUUUUAUGUGAGUAUCCACAGGAAAUGGCACUGCCUCAAUCCAUAGAUACUUAUUGAUGACUUCCUGUGUGUUCCAGGUAUAGGUGAGACAGCAGGAAAGUAAGCAGACAAAACAUCCUUCAUGGAGCUCACUUGUUGGAGUGGGGCGUUUAAGUGAACAAUAUAAAUAAGUAACAUAAAUAUUGUAUUAAAAGGCGAUAUGCUCCUCGAAGGGAAGAGAGCUAAGUGCCUACCGUGGAGGCUGGUGGCUAACUAGUGUUUACGUGGAAAGGGAGGAGGGGAUUUUGAGCAGAAGAGUAACCGGGUCUGACUUACCCUGGCUGUUGUGUUGAGAUUAUCCUAAAGUGGAGCAAGAGUGGAAAUGAGGAGACCACUUGGAAGGCUCGUAUAGUGAUCCCAGCAAGAAACAGUGCUGGAGCAGGAAGAGCUCCAAGCAAACAAAAGGUUACAGUCCAGGGGGCUGUGUGAGGGCAGGCAUACGAUGCUUGCCUUCUGCUCUUUGAUCUUACUCUUUAUCAUCUCCUUCUGGCCUGGGCUCCAUCAAUUACACCAGCCUAUCAAUCUCUCCCACUCCACCGCCUUCUUCCCCAAACAGGCUCAAGCCCCUCUCAUUAAAAAAAAGAGAGAGAGAGAGAGAGAAAAAAAAAAAUUUUUUUCCUUUAGCCUUGGUAAAUGUCAGAGACGAGGCGAUGUUUGAGUUGAGACUUAGAGAAUGAGUAAGAGUUUAGCAGGCAGAUAAAGAAGAACCCAGGCAAAGGCAACCACAGCACAUAGGAUGCAAAGUCAUGGGCUCAAAGAGGUGGACACUCAGGGAACUGGGAGUAGUUCCGUAUUGCUGGAGUGUCCUGGGGCAGGAGAGGGAAAGUGGGCAGUUGAAGAACAGGUUACCAUGCGUGCUCUGCAGAUACUGCUCUCAAGAGUUUGGUGUGGUGCUUUUACACUGUGGUAUCAGGUGGAGAAGAAUGACCC
rnacentral:lncRNA from 1 species